GACGAACGCUGGCGGCGUGCUUAACACAUGCAAGUCGAACGGAAAGGCCCUGCUUUUGUGGGGUGCUCGAGUGGCGAACGGGUGAGUAACACGUGAGUAACCUGCCCUUGACUUUGGGAUAACUUCAGGAAACUGGGGCUAAUACCGGAUAGGAGCUCCUGCUGCAUGGUGGGGGUUGGAAAGUUUCGGCGGUUGGGGAUGGACUCGCGGCUUAUCAGCUUGUUGGUGGGGUAGUGGCUUACCAAGGCUUUGACGGGUAGCCGGCCUGAGAGGGUGACCGGCCACAAUGGGACUGAGAUACGGACCAGAAGGCUACGGGAGGCAGCAGUGGAGAAUAUGGCGCAAUGGGCGGAAGCCUGAUGCAGCAACGCCGCGUGCGGGAUGACGGCCUUCGGGGUGUGAACAGCUUUCGCCUGUGACAAGGAGGGAGUGACGGUAAUGGGUAAAGAAGCACCGGCUAACUACGUG
rnacentral:rRNA from 1 species